AAAUGCGAUAAGUAGUGUGAAUUGCAGAAUUCAGUGAAUCAUCGAAUCUUUGAACGCACAUUGCGCCCUUUGGUAUUCCUUAGGGCAUGCCUGUUCGAGCAUCAUCUAAACCUUCAAGCCCUGCUUGGUGUUGGGUGCCUGUCCCGCCUCCGCGCGCGGACUCACCUCAAAUCCAUUGGCGGCCCCCGCGUCGGCCACGAGCGCAGCAGAAACGCGAACUCGUGAGCCCGUCCGGGCGGCUCCCAGAAGCUACACCCACCCAGUUUGACCUCGGAUCAGGUAGGGAUACCCGCUGAACUUAAGC
rnacentral:misc_RNA from 1 species